CUCCUUUUGAAACCGUCGGGUUAUUCUCUCUCAAAGGUUUUUUUUUCUCUCUCAAAGGUUCAAACUCAUUGUAGAUGAAAUCUGGAAAAACUAUUGAAUCGAAGUAUGGAACUUGAGAAUCGAGAAAUAGGGUCCUUUCGAUUUUCUUCACUGAGCUAAGGAGGUUUGGUUUCGAACUUCUUCUCAUCGUCCUCUUCUCUCGCGUUCACUAUCACUCAAUCUCAGUCCCGAAACUCAGUCUUCGCUUCAAUUGAUGGAUUUGGAGUCUCUUAAUACAAUAGCAAUCCUUGAUGCUCAAAGGGAAUACAUGGACAUGAAUGAAGAAGAUGCUUUGAAUGAGGAAAAUGCAAUGAGGGAGGGAGGGAGAAACAAGCUUGAUGCAAACUGUUUUUAAUUGAGAUUGUGCACUAUCUAGUUCAUUUGAGAUUUUUUUAUUAUUGUUGUGUCAUGUUGUACUUUUUAACCGAGAAUUCUUAACAAAAAUCAAAACUUUUUUUUCAUAAACA